rnacentral:lncRNA from 1 species
AUGGCUCAGAGGUUGAGAGCACUGACUGUUCUCCCUGAUGUCCUGAGUUCAAUUCCCAGCAACCCCAUGGUGGCUCACAACCAUCUGUAAGGGCUCUGAUGCACUCUUCUGGUGUGUCUGAUGACAGCAGCAGUGUACUCCUGUUCCUAAAAUAAAUAAUUAUUUUAAAUACAUUAUUAUCUCUGAAGAGCAGAUGUAGCCAUAGGCAUAUAAGAUGUAUAUGAAGCACAAUGUUUAAUAAAAUUUUACCAAAUUAAGAUUGUGCAACAAUAGAGAUAGGCAUCAGUGCAGAAGAUCCCGUAGAGGUUUAACUGCACUCACGGAUCUUAUAGUUAGGGCUUGUCUCCAGUGGAGAUUUUCGCAAUGGUCCUAGUCAUCCAUUGCUCAAUAAUUUUACAUAGAUUAGUAGGGAAGAGGAGGACUGAUGUUGGAUCAAUGAUGAAUGUCUGUGAGCAUUCUUAGAGUCAUGAAUCAUGACGACAAAUUUAAUUCUGAGAUCAACAUCAUAAAGUAUCCAGUGACAGCUAUAAGAAGUAGUCUUCUUUUAUAAGUCAGUAAAUGUAAAUAAAAAUUGACUAGGAAGUCAUUUAAUCAAAAGGCAGCUCACAAAGAAGACUACAUAUAUGUAUAUAUGUAUAUAUGUAAGAAGAAAGUGUGACAGAGUAAUGACCAUGGAGGUGAGGGAUAAGAUGAAAUGAGCAGAAGCAGGCAGAAUACAUAGAUAAGCGAACGGAACAUCAAUCUCUUUAUAACCUCUUCUGUCUAUACUUCAAGAAUGGAUAUCCUGCAAGUCGGCUUCGUAGAGUCUCCCUUGAAAGUGGACCUCAUGAUCUAGCCUUUAUGUCCGUGGAUUGACACUGUGAUGGAUUCCCCCCAAGUUCAUUUAGAUAUUCUCUCUUAUUCAUAAAUGUCACGGUCAGCUCUGUUCUUAUAGAUACCAGAAUGGAUACCCCUAAGCUGAUGUAUAUACACCCUUCCUCGGUUGUGAGAUUCCUGCUCUGGUGGUUGUAGUCAUAAGAUAUACAUCGUUGCGUACACCUUGGUUGUGGGCACGCACACUACUGUUGAAUUACCACCUUGUCCAAGUGGAUGGAUGCCCUCAAUGGGAUUGGCACUUUCUCCAUUGCUCCUGCACUCUGUUAUCAGCACUUCGGGUUCAUAAUGUACACACAGCAAUGGAUUUUCUGCAGCUGAUUUUCUAUAUUCUGUUUUCUUCGGGUAAGCAGAAACAGAUGCCUUCCUCACUGGUCACCAGGUUCAAGGUCCCUCAUAUGUGUCAGGUGCAUAGUCACCAACAAAGGCCAACUUCACAUCAAUGGGUGGAUCGUACCUCGGCCUAAGCUCCAGGAUUGAUUGUGCUGUUAGAGUCACAGCUACAACCGGCUCAGGGAACCCAGUGGAAGAGGAGGUGGAGUGUGAGAGCCAAUUGGAAUGGAAGACAGUGAGGAAACAAGGCCUUCGAGACACAAGAGGACUGCUGAGCUCACAAAGACUGAGGCAGCACCCUCAGGACCUGCACAGGUCUAAGCUUGAUGCGAUCUGAGUACUGAGAGGGCAACUGGACACAAUUCUAUAUUGAUAACCCAGAAGCUUUCUCCAGUUGAUAAACUCUUUCAAAGGAAAAACUUGUUUUCUACCAUGGAGUGACACUGGAUAUAGAAACUACCGUUAACAGCAGACUCCAUGGCUCAGACUUCCAAUACAAUAUGAACUCAGUUGCAAUUUUUUGCAAGGUUUUUCGACUCAUAGUUCUUUGUCUGGGUACUUUUUCACCCUACAGAGAAUUUCUGUAUAUAUUAUCGUUUCUGAUUCUAGUGUUUUGAAUUUUCGCUGGGUCUAAAUAUCUCUGUCUCAGUGUCAGUAUGUGUUUCUCAUGAUUUUUCUUUGCUUCUCUUUUUCCUAUUCUUUGCUUGUAUUCCCUGGUUUGUGUUUGAGUGUCUGGGAACUCUGAGGGUCUGGUUGGUGAUAUUGUUGUUCUUCCUAUGGGGUUGAAAACCCCUUCAGCUCCUUCAGCCUUUCACUAAGUCCUCCAUUAUUAUGAUUCCUAUGCUCAGUCCAGUGGUUGGAUGUGAGCCCCCCCCCCCCUCUGCAUUUGUCAGGCUCCGGCAGAGCCUCUAAGGAGAUAGCUAUAUUAGGCUCUUGUCAGCUUUGUUUGUUUUUAUUCUGUCUUCUCUAUACUGUUUAUUUUAGAUAACUGUGUUUAUUCUAAUGUAUGAAUGAAUAAAUGGGUGUGUGUUUGGGUGGGUGGGGAAUUGGGGAGGGUGGGGGUGGAUGUGGGAGGGGAAACUGUAACACAAAUACAUUGUAUAAAAGUACAUUUUAAUAAAUGUAUUUCUUCUAUGACUAAAAAAA